CUACGGGGGGCAGCAGUGGGGAAUAUUGCACAAUGGAGGAAACUCUGAUGCAGCAACGCCGCGUGAGGGAAGAAGGUUUUCGGAUUGUAAACCUCUGUCCUCGGUGAAGAAAAAAAUGACGGUAGCCGAGGAGGAAGCCACGGCUAACUACGUACCAGCAGCCGCGGUAAUACGUAGGUGGCAAGCGUUGUCCGGAUUUACUGGGUGUAAAGGGUGCGCAGGCGGGACUGCAAGUUGGAUGUGAAAUGCCGAGGCUCAACCUCGGAGCUGCAUCCAAAACUGUGGUUCUUGAGAGAUGUAGAGGUAAGCGGAAUGCCGAGUGUAGCGGUGAAAUGCGUAGAUAUUCGGAGGAACACCAGUGGCGAAGGCGGCUUACUGGGCAUUUUCUGACGCUGAGGCACGAAAGUGUGGGGAGCAAACAGGAUUAGAUACCCCUGUAGUC
rnacentral:rRNA from 1 species